UUACAAAGCAAAAAAAAUGUUUACAUUUUGGCACGUGUGCACACAUAUAUAUACAUAUAUAUAAAAAAUAAGUAAAUAUCACAUUUACAUAAGUAUUCAGACCAUGCUUCAUCAUAUGAAUGAUGCCAGUUUUCCUCCAGACGGGACAAUUGGCAUUCAGGCCAGAGUUCAAUCUUGGUUUCAUCAGACCAGAGAAUCUUGUUUCUCAUGGUCAGUCCUUUAGCUGCCUUUUGGCAAACUCCAAGUGGACUGUUAUGUGCCUUUUACUGAAGAGUGGCUUCAGUCUGGCCACUCCACCAUAAAGACCUGAGUGCUGCAUAGAUUGUUGUCCUUCUAGAAGGUUCUCCCAUCUCCACAGAGGAACUCUGGAGCUCCAUCAGUGACCAACAGGAUCUUGGUCAUCACCCUGACCAAUCCAUUUAAGCAUGAUGGAGGCCACUGUAUUCUUGGGGAACUUCAAUGCUGCAGAAAUGUUUCAAUACCUUUCCCCAGAUCUGUGCCUCGCCACAAUCCUGUCUCUGAGCUCUACGGACAAUUCCUUCGAUCUCAUGGCUUGGUUUUUUACCUCUGACAUGCACUGCCAACUGUGGGACCUUGUUUAGCUUUCCAAAUCAUGUCCAAUCAAUUGAAUUUACCACAGGUGGACUCCAAUCAAGAUUUAGAAACAAUCAAAGAGGAUCAAUGGAAACAGGAUGCAUCGGAGCUUAAUUUCGAGUCUGAAUACUUAUGUAAAUAAGGUGGACUUGUUAACCACAGAAAAAAAGAAAUGUGUUGAUGCAUUCACAUCCUAUGCAGUUCUUUCAGGAACUGCCAAGAAACGAUGAAAAAGAGAACAGCUCUAACAAUUCUAUGUUGUCAAAAUGAGAUUCUAGUGAAACCAGGGGACACAUCGGCUGUGACAUUACCCUGGACGAGAUCAUGUGGUUUUCGAGUCAGUGUAUUACACAGGCCUGUUCAGAAGCAAUCUGAGCAUACUGAACAUCUCAGAGAGUGACGUGGGUCUGUACUACUGUGUUGAGCAGAGGGCUAACAUAUUUGAGAUCGGAAGUGGGACCAAGCUCUCCCUUAUCAGUGGUGAUCAGCUCUCUACUACUGUUGUUGGGAUGAAGUUGUCAUGGUUUAUCACCUUGAUCAUAGCCCCCCAUGUUCUCUGUACUGGGGUCUGCUCUCUGUGUCUUCUGCUGUUGACGACCUCCUAAGAAAUGAUUUGCACCCAAUAAUUCUAAUUUUCACAUUGAAUCAGCUUUCUGAAAUGUCUUUUUUAAAUACUUAUGUGGUGCAACUCACGGUCUGUAAAUCGGUCAUUGGUGUUUAUUGCGCAUUUCAUGAAGAUAAAAAAAAAUAGCUGUCCUCUUACACUGUAGAUCCUGACAAAAUGAGGAUUCUGGAACAAUUUGGUUGAAGCCUGUCAUCUAGAGGACCAAGAGUGAGUAUAGGAGGACAAACAGGAAUAAAAUGUAAAGAUACUGAGAGUAAAAGUAACAUUUCUGGUGUUUUAUGAAGUCUCCUGUGACACACGGGGUUAAACUUCUGCCACUCCAUACAUCUAAGUAGGUGGACGAUGGGAUCUACAUGUGUCCAGAUUGGUUUCACAUCUUUGUAUUUAUUGUGUUAUUCCAGUGUUGAUUGCAUGACCAGUAUGUUCAGGGUGUUAGAGAUAGAAAUGUAUUGAACAAGAUCAUUGUAGACAUGUGAUCAUAAAUCAUUCACGUCAUAUCUACCAUUCCAUCCACGGACCAAUUAUCAAAACAGUAGUGGUUUAACCAUAAAUCUGCAACUAUAAAUAUAUUUUUAAAUCUGAAACGCAACAACCUGCUGUUAUACUGUAUGUAGUGUAUUCAGAAUGUAUUCAGACCGCGUGACUUUUUCCCGCAUUGUUACGUUACAGCUUAUUCUAAAAUUGAUUAAAUUAUAUUUUUCUUCA